rnacentral:lncRNA from 1 species
GUCCGCCGCUGCUCCCACCGCGCCCGCCUCCAACGCCGUGGCGGCACCGACCGCCCCCUCGCUGUUCCCCUCCAGCUUUCGGCAGCUCUAGGCUAGGGUUCGUGCCCUCGACCCCUUCUUCUUUUUCCUCAUGGAUGACACCUCUUGCCACUUGAUCGCGUUGUAUGUGUGUGCACUUAGGUCUUCCAUUCUGUAGGCUCAGGAUUAGUAAUGCAAGGGGAUCUGUGUCAAACUCGUCACAUUCUAGCAAAUGAUUUUCUCUUCUGUUGGCUGAAAUUGCUUCCUGGUUUGUAUCCUCAAUAUUGAUAAUGCAAUGGAGUCUGUCAAAUUCUGUUAUCCACAUUCUUGCACAUGGAUUGAUUCGUUGGAAUUAUUCAUAUCAUUAUAUGACACCAAUGCAAGAUUACAGAGACGAAUUUGAAGUACAGUCUACUUAUUUGGAUCACAUGUAUAACUGUGAACUCCACGUUUAAGUGGCUCCAAACAUGCCCAUGAGUAAAAUUGUUGUUAUUUCAAUGUUCCUUGUUCUGGAGGCAUCCCAAUUAGUAGCUCUCCUUUAUCAUUCGUCUGGUUGUGGUGUAGGCACAUGUGUUUCAAUCGCUGCUAGAUUCAUCAUAGUCAAGGACUGAGAAUUUGAGCUUACCCUUUGUUAUGUUAUUCUUUCUUUAUCACUGACGUUUCUACAGUAGUAAAAUUAUCACCAAGUUAGCUCAUUGUUCUUGAACAAAGGUGGAAGCAAAUGGAAAUAACACAGUUAGCCGGAAUGCCCCUCACCAGUGGUUGUAAGGUUUGGUUGCAUCAUGGUUGUAAGGUUUGGCUGCAUCAUUAUUGUGAGAUUUCAAAUACUUUACAAAGCCAGCCUAUGCUCCUCCCCGAUAGUGUGUGCGGGCUGGCCUGCCCAUCGUAAAAUUGUUGAGUUCGACAUUUUAACUACAGGGAGCAUGCUCAUGAGCAUAGUUGUUAUGUCAAUGUUCUUUGCUCUAGACUAGAGGCAUCGUAAUUAGUAGUUCUUCUUUGUCAUUGGUUUGGUUGAGGUACAUGCACGGAUGUUCCAACAACUGCUGGAUAUAUCGUAUUCAAGGACAGCAUUCGAGUUCACCCUUUAUCAAGUUAUUGUUUUCUUUAUCACUCUGGGAUUAAAGGUGAAAAUGCUUUACAAAUCCAACACAUGCUUCUCACUGGUGGUGUAUUCAAGUUGGCCUGCCCAUCGUAUUUUUCAUCUUGUUCUGGAUGUUUUAUGGAUCUAAUAGUCAAGCAGUAGCCAUGUAUCCAAUGAAGUUGUAUUUUCAAGAACAAAAAUAUGUACUAGUAUAUAGUUUAGAAGUUGAUAUCUCCCAAGGUGAAUUGAAGCAUACAACCAUGAUGCAGCCAAACUUGAUUAUGCUAAAAAAAUGCUCCCAUGUCCAAAAUUUCAAUCAAUGUGCAACCACUAGAGGUACCACCUUUUUUUAUUACAACAUUCUAAACAUUACCUUCAUUCAUUCAGCAGGUACCGAAGACUGGACGCAACUGAAGUUCUUGAUAUGAAGUCGAACCAAAUCUGAUACUUGGCUUGCUGGAAGAGCCGGAUGAGCUUUGGUCGUGAUGUUGUUUCCACAAGAAAAAGUUGUGGUUCAUUGAGUUCCUGUAAAUUGCCAUCUUUCUUUGCUUGACUUGGACACUACUGUAGUAAUCAUGAUGGCCACUACCUCCUCGUUCAUAGUCUUCCUAUAUUCCCAUCGCUGUAUGCAUCAGCUGGACAUCUGGUGUUCUGUCGAUUAUCCUCUCUUUGACGAUUGUGUUGUACUUAUCUGAAAGGAACACGCCACGGCCUGGUGGCCAUGAAUCGAGGUCCCGUUUUCGGGAUAACAAUCAAAAAGCUAUGAAACGAUUAUGGGACGGAGGGAGUAGAUCUCAAUCAUGCUUUUUAGAAGUCACUGUAAUGAAUUAGUUUUUCUAGUAUUGUAUUGUUCUACAUUCAGAACCAUUCAAUCCCUGGAAGACUAAGCAACGAUUCAUUCAUAUGGACAUUUUGUUGUUCAUUUUCAGAAGAUAAUAUUUUCAGCCAAAGCUGUUGCUUGCAUCUAAAGCUUGACCUAAUCAGUGCUGUUUUCAGCCAUGUUUUCGUUUUAAGUUGUUCAGUGGUGGCCUUGAUGCUUAAUUGAAGUCAAUUUUUUAGGUUAAAGAAGAAAUUGAGUUGGCCCUCGCAAAUCAUGCUGCUAUGACGACAAG